CCUACGGGUGGCAGCAGUAGGGAAUUUUCGGCAAUGGGGGGAACCCUGACCGAGCAACGCCGCGUGAACGAAGAAGUUAUUCGUAAUGUAACGUUCUUUUAACAGGGAAGAAAGAGAAAUUUGACGGUACCUGAAGAAUAAGCUCCGUCUAACUACGUGCCAGCAGCCGCGGUAAUCCGUAGGGAGCGAGCGUUAUCGGGAAUUAUUGGGCGAAAGGGGUGCGUAGAUGGCAUAGUAAGUCUUUUGUAAAAAUGCUGGGCUCAAACCAGUAGGGCAAAAGAUACUGCAAAGCUAGAGUAUAACAGAGGCAAGUGGAAUUACAGGUGUAGCGGUAAAAUGCGUAAAUAUAUGUAAGAACACCAGUGGCGAAGGCGGCUUGCUGGGUCGAUACUGACAUUGAGGCACGAAAGCGUGGGGAGCAAACAGGAUUAGAUACCCUGGUAGUC
rnacentral:rRNA from 1 species